ACACAACCGACCCAGGAGACGCUAGCGUGUGCCCAGGGAAGAGUUCUCUUUUCUUUUUAACAAGCAUAUCCUACCUUGGAAACGGAUUAUCCGGCGAUAAGGAG